rnacentral:misc_RNA from 1 species
CUCAACUGUAUACUCUCUAUUUUCAUUUUCUCUACGAGCGAACUGUUCUCUACGAACCAAAGAGCGAUUCGUUAACGGAGGCCGGAGUUAUCACAAUCGGAAUCUGUGACGGUGACAGAGAGACGGUAUGGUGGUGGAGCUGUUUUGUUUCAUCGCUGUUAUUGUAGUACUUAAGUACUUCUUCUACGAUGACGAUGUAAUCGAUGUUGGAUCCUCCGAUUUCAAUGCUCUAUUUACUGUUGCCGAAAGGCUUGAGAAGCUUUAUGGUGGUAAGGCUCAUGUAGGACUUCAAAUUCCUGACCAGGACUCUGGUUCUCGACAGAGUGUUGAUUUAGUUCUCGUCACUAGAAGGGAAGCAGUGAUAGUUUGUGUAAAGAAUGUGGCAGGGUUUGUAUCUGUUGAUAAGGACGGGAGAUGGGUUUGUACUGGAAGCCAUAAGACGGAGCGUCUCCCCAAUCCUGUAGCAGAAGCAAAACAAUUAGUUCCUAUUCUUGAAUCCUACCUUGAACAAAGGGGUGUCAUUCUUCCGGAAGGAUAUUUGUCUUGCAAAGUCAUAUGUUCAAACCCGAAUUUCCGUACCAUUGACUCGGACUCUUUUCCGUCUGAGGUCAUAACAUAUGACCAAUGGAUACAACUAAGACCUGAAUCAAACAUGCUUUCUGGUUGGAUUAAAGGUGCAUUUCAUGGUGGGAAGAAGGACGUGCAGGAGUCGAUACGUGAAAAGCUUAAUCUUGUACUCAGCACAGCUCCAAUGUGGGACAGGUUGGAGCUUAAAGGUAAUAAAUAUGUUCUUGGAGAGUUUCUCGAGUUCAAAGGGGACAAUGAAGAUAUUCGGGCAUUGGGAAACAUCAGGAGAUCAAAAGUUAGUACAGUGACAAUCCAGAAAACAAGCAUGUUUGGUGUAGCUCAUUCCAAACUCCAAGUACUCUACUGUCUUCGAGAUUAUCGUGGUGAAGGGGCUUCAGCUUCAGACUGGAAAGAAGUCACUGUCCAUUCCAGGACUGAGAUCAAAAUUCAACCAAAAGGUUCAACUAAAGUACGCAAAUACAAGUUAUCUUCAGUUAUUUCCAUGUCAUUAAGUGCCUGACAUGUCCGUGCGAAGUCUCCUAUGGGCAUUGAUCAUUGUGAUGGAGUGUUUUAAUAAAAAUGUUUUGAUUCUGAACCUCGUUCUUCCUUCAGAAGUUCUAAGUUGAUGUAUGUAACUAUUUGUUGUGUAUAUCCUAUCUGGUGUAGCAAUUCUGGGUCAAAUGUAAUGGAGAAAGCGCUCCCUUAUUAGUGAGUAGUAAACAUAGGAGAACGGUAUAAUGUAACAAAAUUCUGGUACGAUAGAGAGCAAAUUGCUGGUAAUGUUUUAAAGGGUUGUUCUGUUAAGGAACAAGUUAUUUGGCUUUAUAAUACGAAUUAAA